GCUGGGCAUGGUGGCGCAUGCCUGUAAUCCCAGCUACUCGGGAGGCUGAGGCAGGAGAAUCACUUGAACUCAGGAGGCGGAGGUUGCAGUGAGACGAGAUGGCACCACUGCACUCCAGCCUGGGUGACAGAGUGAGACUCUGUCUCGA
rnacentral:sRNA from 1 species